UUUUGGACAAUGGGGGCAACCCUGAUCCAGCAAUGCCGCGUGAGUGAAGAAGGCCUUCGGGUUGUAAAGCUCUUUUGUCAGGGAAGAAACAGCAGCUCUAACACAGUCUGCGAAUGACGGUACCUGAAGAAUAAGCACCGGCUAACUACGUGCCAGCAGCCGCGGUAAUACGUAGGGUGCGAGCGUUAAUCGGAACUACUGGGCGUAAAGCGUGCGCAGGCGGUUAUACAAGACAGGCGUGAAAUCCCCGGGCUUAACCUGGGAAUGGCGCCUGUGACUGUAUAGCUAGAGUGUGUCAGAGGGGGGUAGAAUUCCACGUGUAGCAGUGAAAUGCGUAGAUAUGUGAAGGAAUACCAAUGGCGAAGGCAGCCCCCAGUGUAACACUGACGCUCAUGCACGAA
rnacentral:rRNA from 1 species